CUUGUGCCAGCCGCCGCGGUAAUACAGAGGGUGCAAGCGUUAAUCGGAAUUACUGGGCGUAAAGCGCGCGUAGGUGGUUCGUUAAGUUGGAUGUGAAAUCCCCGGGCUCAACCUGGGAACUGCAUUCAAAACUGACGAGCUAGAGUAUGGUAGAGGGUGGUGGAAUUUCCUGUGUAGCGGUGAAAUGCGUAGAUAUAGGAAGGAACACCAGUGGCGAAGGCGACCACCUGGACUGAUACUGACACUGAGGUGCGAAAGCGUGGGGAG
rnacentral:rRNA from 1 species